ACCCGCACAAGCGGUGGAUGAUGUGGUUUAAUUCGAUGCAACGCGAAAAACCUUACCUACCUUUGACAUGUACGGAAUUCGCCAGAGAUGGCUUAGUGCUCGAAAGAGAACCGUAACACAGGUGCUGCAUGGCUGUCGUCAGCUCGUGUCGUGAGAUGUUGGGUUAAGUCCCGCAACGAGCGCAACCCUUGCCAUUAGUUGCUACAUUUAGUUGGGCACUCUAAUGAGACUGCCGGUGACAAACCGGAGGAAGGUGGGGAUGACGUCAAGUCCUCAUGGCCCUUAUAGGUAGGGCUACACACGUCAUACAAUGGAUGGUACAAAGGGUCGCCAACCCGCGAGGGGGAGCCAAUCCCAUAAAACCAUUCGUAGUCCGGAUCGCAGUCUGCAACUCGACUGCGUGAAGUCGGAAUCGCUAGUAAUCGUGGAUCAGAAUGUCACGGUGAAUACGUUCCCGGGUCUU
rnacentral:rRNA from 1 species